UACGAAGGGGGCUAGCGUUGUUCGGAAUUACUGGGCGUAAAGGGCGCGUAGGCGGUGUGUCAAGUCAGGCGUGAAAGCCCCGGGCUCAACCUGGGAACCGCGCUUGAGACUGGCACGCUAGAGUUCGGGAGAGGAUGGUGGAAUUCCCAGUGUAGAGGUGAAAUUCGUAGAGAUCGGGAAGAACAUCGGUGGCGAAGGCGCUCUACUGGACCACAACUGACACUCAGGGACGAAAGCUAGGGGAGCGAAUGGG
rnacentral:rRNA from 1 species